CCUACGGGAGGCAGCAGUAGGGAAUAUUGCUCAAUGGGGGAAACCCUGAAGCAGCAACGCCGCGUGGAGGAUGAAGGUUUUCGGAUUGUAAACUCCUUUUGUUAGAGAAGAUAAUGACGGUAUCUAACGAAUAAGCACCGGCUAACUCCGUGCCAGCAGCCGCGGUAAUACGGAGGGUGCAAGCGUUACUCGGAAUCACUGGGCGUAAAGAGCGCGUAGGCAGGAUAGCAAGUCAGAUGUGAAAUCCUAUGGGUUAACCAUAGAACUGCAUUUGAAACUGUUAUUCUAGAGUAUGGGAGAGGUAGGUGGAAGUAUAGGUGUAGGAGUAAAAUCCGUAGAGAUAAAGAGGAAUACUCAGUGCGAAGGCGACCUGCUAGAACAUAACUGACGCUGAUGCGCGACAGCGUGGGGAGCAAACAGGAUUAGAUACCCGGGUAGUC
rnacentral:rRNA from 1 species